rnacentral:rRNA from 1 species
UGGGGAAUUUUGGACAAUGGGCGAAAGCCUGAUCCAGCAAUGCCGCGUGUGUGAAGAAGGCCUUCGGGUUGUAAAGCACUUUUGUCCGGAAAGAAAUCCUUGGCUCUAAUACAGUCGGGGGAUGACGGUACCGGAAGAAUAAGCACCGGCUAACUACGUGCCAGCAGCCGCGGUAAUACGUAGGGUGCAAGCGUUAAUCGGAACUACUGGGCGUAAAGCGUGCGCAGGCGGUUUGCUAAGACCGAUGUGAAAUCCCCGGGCUCAACCUGGGAACUGCAUUGGUGACUGGCAGGCUAGAGUAUGGCAGAGGGGGGUAGAAUUCCACGUGUAGCAGUGAAAUGCGUAGAGAUGUGGAGGAAUACCGAUGGCGAAGGCAGCCCCCUGGGCCAAUACUGACGCUCAUGCACGAAAGCGUGGGGAGCAAACAGGAUUAGAUACCCUGGUAGUCCACGCCCUAAACGAUGUCAACUAGUUGUUGGGGAUUCAUUUCCUUAGUAACGUAGCUAACGCGUGAAGUUGACCGCCUGGGGAGUACGGUCGCAAGAUUAAAACUUAAUGAAUUGACGGGGUCAUAGCUGUUUCCU